GUUAACACAUCACAUAACGAUUUGACUAAUCCGUUUGAUAUUUGCGAAGUAUCCGCACCGCAACGCGCUCAGGUCUUAUUACUAGCUAUUAUCUUAAGUUUUAGAUAAACUAGUAAUAAGACCCGCGCGCGUUGCGGCGCGGGUACAUCGUAAAUGUCGAACAGAUUAGUCCUAGCGUUAUGUGAUGUGUUAAC
rnacentral:pre_miRNA from 1 species